rnacentral:rRNA from 1 species
GCGGCCUAUCAGCUUGUUGGUGGGGUGAUGGCCUACCAAGGCGACGACGGGUAGCCGGCCUGAGAGGGCGACCGGCCACACUGGGACUGAGACACGGCCCAGACUCCUACGGGAGGCAGCAGUGGGGAAUCUUGCGCAAUGGGCGAAAGCCUGACGCAGCGACGCCGCGUGAGGGAUGGCGGCCUUCGGGUUGUAAACCUCUUUCGACCGGGACGAAGCGUGAGUGACGGUACCGGUAGAAGAAGCACCGGCUAACUACGUGCCAGCAGCCGCGGUAAUACGUAGGGUGCGAGCGUUGUCCGGAAUUAUUGGGCGUAAAGAGCUCGUAGGCGGUUUGUCGCGUCGGCCGUGAAAACUCCAGGCUUAACUUGGGGCUUGCGGUCGAUACGGGCAGACUUGAGUUCGGCAGGGGAGACUGGAAUUCCUGGUGUAGCGGUGAAAUGCGCAGAUAUCAGGAGGAACACCGGUGGCGAAGGCGGGUCUCUGGGCCGAUACUGACGCUGAGGAGCGAAAGCGUGGGGAGCGAACAGGAUUAGAUACCCUGGUAGUCCACGCCGUAAACGUUGGGCGCUAGGUGUGGGGACCAUUCCACGGUUUCCGUGCCGUAGCUAACGCAUUAAGCGCCCCGCCUGGGGAGUACGG